rnacentral:rRNA from 1 species
CUUGUCCACUCCAGGGGGACAACAGUUGGAAACAGCUGCUAAUACCCCAUAAGCCUAAGGGUUAAAGGAGCAAUCCGGGAGAGGAGAGACUCGCGUCCUAUCAGCUAGUAGGUGAGAUAAUGGCUCACCUAGGCUAAGACGGGUAACCGGACUGAGAGGUCGAACGGUCACACUGGAACUGAGACACGGUCCAGACUCCUACGGGAGGCAGCAGUGGGGAAUCUUGGGCAAUGGGGGCAACCCUGACCCAGCGACGCCGCGUGGGUGAAGAAAUUCUUCGGAAUGUAAAGCCCUGUUGUAUGGGAAGAUAAUGACGGUACCAUACCAGAAAGCCCCGGCAAACUACGUGCCAGCAGCCGCGGUAAUACGUAGGGGGCAAGCGUUGUCCGGAAUUACUGGGCGUAAAGCGCACGCAGGCGGAAUUGUAAGUCCGUUGUAAAAUGCAAAGGCUCAACCUUUGUUUGUCGACGGAUACUGCAAAUCUAGAGUAUGUGAGAGGGAAGUGGAAUUCCAGGUGUAGCGGUGAAAUGCGUAAAUAUCUGGAGGAACACCAGUGGCGAAGGCGACUUCCUG